rnacentral:lncRNA from 1 species
GUUACAAAGGUGUAACAGACAUGGUUCCAGCCUCAUUUUCAGCUGUGAGUAGCUCGAGGACGCAGCUGAGCACCUCUCCCUCCCCAUCUUUUUGGCUGUGCCUGGAAGUAGCUGAAGGUCAAAGCUGGAGUCCAAACAACAGGCAUUCAGCAAAGAAGGAUAAUCAGUAGACAGAGGAGUGGGGACUUGGGACAUUCAUCAUUCUGGAAUGUAAAUAGGGACCCAGGCCACUCACCGAUGGCCCAAACUCAGAGCCUACAUGGCAACAUCUCUGGUUUUGUUCCUGUUCCCUCUGGAGGGCUGACCAGGAUGAUUCAGCACAGGUCAGAAGUCUCACGAUCACCAUGACAAAGCAUAAAGGGCUUAGGAUGAUGUUUCUGGGUGGGCUCGAGUGACCAAACAAGUUCUAUCACCUCCUUCCUAAGAUUCUUUCUUUCUCCCCAAGGCCUCCACAAAAGCUGCUCCUUCAAAGACAAUAACAUAAACCCAAUGCUGAAUGGUCUAUUUGCCCUCUUGAAACAGAAACGAGGAUCUGGGAGCUGGAAGCAACAAGUCUUGGAAAAACCUCCGUGGCCCUGCACCCCACAGUCUGUAGCUCGGGCAUCAUGCCUCAGGCUAAGUGGAUGUGGGGAGCAGAUACAGGGAACAAAAGGAACAAAAAGCCACCAGUGCCCAUCUGACUUAAGUAGCCAACAGCUGUCCAGAUACCCGGUAGGUGAUUGGGGAGGGACCCCAGUGUUCUCAGCUCUCCAUUCCUGCCAAAGUGCCGGGAGAUCACACCUCUCCCACCCUACCUUCCAGGGAUUGGGGGUGGGAAUGCCAAGAUGUCUGUAUGUUUCAUACAGGAAAGUGGUCCAGUGUUGA